UACGGAGGGUGCGAGCGUUGUCCGGAAUCACUGGGCGUAAAGCGCACGUAGGCGGCUUUUUAAGUCAGAGGUGAAAUCCUGGAGCUCAACUCCAGAACUGCCUUUGAUACUGAGAGGCUUGAGUCCGGGAGAGGUGAGUGGAACUGCGAGUGUAGAGGUGAAAUUCGUAGAUAUUCGCAAGAACACCAGUGGCGAAGGCGGCUCACUGGCCCGGUACUGACGCUGAGGUGCGAAAGCGUGGGGAGCAAACAGG
rnacentral:rRNA from 1 species